GCUGAUUCAUCAGCUCACAGUGAAACGAGCUUGCAUGAGAGCAUCCCAGGACCACUGAACAUUCAGAGGGGCUGGAGGCAGAGAAAAACUUCCCCUACUCAAGAAAAAGAAGCUAUUUUUGUCAAGUUAAAUGAGCCUGAACCUGCAGAGCUGAAUUGGCAGAUGAAUAUUGCUAAUUGGUGCAGUUUCUUCGGUGCAGGAAAGAGUUUCCAAUCAGACCGGCAAUUCAUUGGCCACAUGAAGGACUAGGAGAGGAAAUUAUCUCCAGGAAAAAUGCCAUGCAUGACCAGGGUUAAUGAUAUGGAACACACCCCACAAAGAUGCUUUGCCUUUGGGUACCAGGACUUCAAAUCCUACACAAUGAAGGAUCAAAAAUGAAACCAAGAGAGAAAAGAAACAGUGC
rnacentral:lncRNA from 1 species